rnacentral:rRNA from 1 species
CGACCGGCGCACGGGUGAGUAACACGUAUCCAACCUGCCGAUAACUCGGGGAUAGCCUUUCGAAAGAAAGAUUAAUAUCCGAUAGGAUAUCAAGAUCGCAUGAUCUUGAUAUUAAAGAAUUUCGGUUAUCGAUGGGGAUGCGUUCCAUUAGUUAGUUGGCGGGGUAACGGCCCACCAAGACGACGAUGGAUAGGGGUUCUGAGAGGAAGGUCCCCCACAUUGGAACUGAGACACGGUCCAAACUCCUACGGAAGGCAGCAG